GGAAGGCUCGGGGAGGGGGGAGGACUGGGGUGUCAUCAUCGGAGGAAGGCACCGCUACCAGAUUGCCCGGCCGCCGAUAACAAAGCAUCCUUCUCCUUUCUUUAAUACCCGUCAAAUAAACGAGACCAGCAAGAGUCAAAAACAUAUAACAAGGUGACAUCAAGUCGUUGGAAAGGAGAGAUAGAACAGAAGAAAGACAGGAAACAAAUCAGAGAAGUCUAUUCAAAAGCUGGCUGUACGCGUCUGUGGAGCGCCCCAGUCAUGACAGAAGGGAUGUUGUCCUUGAACUGGGGUCCCAGACGAGUAGUACCCCGCACAAUAGCGUGAAGAGAACACAGGACAUCCUGCUCUCCAUGUACCUCCAGGCAGCCUGAAAACAUGGCUUUCCUGCAGUGUUCCUGCACCCCCCAACCAGACCUCCACCCAGCCUGACCCCACCCCUGCCUCAGGCCCACAUACUUCUUAAUGAGAGAAGAUAGAUUCUUGUCUGGCACAAUAGGGUGACUUUGGUUUAUUAUCAGCUAUAGUCAGCAGAUUGCUUGUGGACGAUGCCUGGACAUGCUUUUAGGGUGGUGCAGUGGUUAACGACGCGGAUUCCUAGAAGGCUGAAGCCCCAAGAGGCUCUGCUGUCCUGCUCUAGAGAAGGUUCUUCAGCUGAAGCUCCGUAGUGGAAAAUCUAUCUGGAUAAAUCCGUUUAAAGAGCAGCUUGGGGCAUAUGCAAUAUUUAAAAUCUGUCACCUCAGAGAAGAAGCAGGUCUUUACAUUCAGAUCGAGUCCAUGAAAAUCUGAUUAUCAAGACUUCGCUGCCAAAAUCA